rnacentral:tRNA from 1 species
GCCGUUGUAGCUCAGUCGGUAGAGCACUUCCAUGGUAAGGAAGAGGUCCGCAGUUCGAUUCUGCGCAACGGCUCAA